AGAAAGUCUGCAACCACCACCCCCUGAAAGCGACCAGCACACGAUGCGUGCACCUCCUUUUCCUUCCACAUUAUUCGCAACAAAUGUCCUGCCAAACUGCAUGCUAUAUAUAUAUAUAUAUAUAUAACACCAUCACCACCACUACCACCACCAAACUAUUAUUAACUCCAACUCCACAGCAAAAGCCACACAAAUAUUAAAUUUCCAUGGAUCCUUUUAGAAGCUUCUUCAGUUGUUUUUCCGGUUCAAGUAAGGUGGCGUCUCAAGGUGACAAUACUCCACCAACAUCCAGCAACGUUAAAGCCAAAUCGAAGGAAAGAAACAGUCUUUUUUGGCGGAAAAUUAGGAAUAGAGAGGGGUUUGGCUGAUCUGAGGUUGGGGGAUAAAGAAGAGGAGGCCCUUGCUAUCCCAGAUGAGGUUGAAACACAUAGUACAACGUACAGCUUUUGCUUGGUGGGAUGCUUCUUAACUACUAGUGUUGUUAAUUUCCCAACCAUGAGGAAUACGUUGGAAAACAUCUGGCACCCCUUGGAGGGUGUACAAAUUUCAGAUUUGGGUGAAAAAUGGUUUCUAUUCAAAAUUUUUAAUGAAAUUGAUAUCCAUCGGGUUCUUACAGGAGCCCCUUAGACAUUCAAUAA